rnacentral:rRNA from 1 species
UACGUAGGGUGCGAGCGUUGGCCGGAAUUAUUGGGCGUAAAGGGCUCGUAGGCGGCUUGUCGCGUCGGGUGUGAAAACUCAGGGCUUAACCCUGAGCCUGCUUCCGAUACGGGCAGACUAGAGGUAUGCAGGGGAGAACGGAAUUCCUGGUGUAGCGGUGAAAUGCGCAGAUAUCAGGAGGAACACCGGUGGCGAAGGCGGUUCUCUGGGCAUUACCUGACGCUGAGGAGCGAAAGUGUGGGGAGCGAACAGG